GUGGGUGUGGCUCAGUGGUAGAGCACCUGCCUAGUAUGCAUGAGGUCCUGUGUUCAAUUCUCAGCACUUCUA